UACGUAGGGAGCAAGCGUUGUCCGGAAUUAUUGGGCGUAAAGAGCUCGUAGGCGGUCUGUUGCGUCGGCUGUGAAAACCCGGGGCUCAACUCCGGGCCUGCAGUCGAUACGGGCAGACUAGAGUUCGGUAGGGGAGACUGGAAUUCCUGGUGUAGCGGUGAAAUGCGCAGAUAUCAGGAGGAACACCGGUGGCGAAGGCGGGUCUCUGGGCCGAAACUGACGCUGAGGAGCGAAAGCGUGGGGAGCGAACAGG
rnacentral:rRNA from 1 species